rnacentral:misc_RNA from 1 species
UAAUAAAGUGUUUUAUGGCACUUUUUAAAAAUCCAUAUCCACCUUGUGUGCAAUGUUAGAUCUCGUCAAUCUUGGCGAGGUUUUUAUACAUCAACUCAUUCUUUAACAACAUUCGUCUGAUAACAUAUUAUGAAUAUACUUAAUUCAAAAUA